rnacentral:lncRNA from 1 species
CCUGGCCCACGCGUGUCCCCGGCAUCAGUGUCUCGGCUCUGGUCCAGGACGAAGACUUCUGAAAGCGAGCCAAGGAGAAUCACAGUUCUUAACGGAGCCCCUGACUGCCCGGUGGAAGGAGGUGAUUUAGAAGACAGUGAGCUACUGUUCCCAUCGAGAUGCAAAGGACACAGAGCUCACGGGUGCUCCAGCAAUGCUGGUGUCAUGUUUGGAGGUAGCUGUCUAUGGACUACAGUAUUCUCCCAGUGCUAGUCUGCAGUCACUGCAAAGCCUCCCAAUAGAACAUUUCUUCCUGAGCCAACCUAUCAGUGCAGCUCUGGAAGCAAAUGACCUCUCCUGGCAGAGCCUUCACUGUGUGGGGAACAUCAGAUUUGUGUAAAGAAGAUCACCUGUCUCUUCUCAGGUGUGCACUGUAGAGAAGCUGCUGCGAAGGCCACAGGUCACUCAGGAAAAUUUGGGGCAGUUUUCUAGGUUCAAGGGAGACUGGACAUCAAAGCUGCACUGGGACAUAUGGACGCCUUGAUCCACUUUGGCCAUUCCACCUCAGCUCAGAAUUACUCACUGGUGUCAGAGUGAUUAAUUUCACUUUCAGUGCCUUCCUUCCCGAGUGGAGUGCUUCUGUAGAGACUCCUAAUUCAGUGAAACCUGUCCAGGGGAUCAUCCCUGCUAGACAGACAGCUGCGAGAGGCCAGUGGCUUCCCAGCAUGGAUUUCAGAUUAUGGCCAAUCAAGA